rnacentral:lncRNA from 1 species
GAAUCUUCGAUCUGUCGAUAAAAGAUUUGAUAUAGGAUUGGUGUUUUGUUGUUGGAUCAUAGUGUUACCAUCGAUCUGCCCAUAAAAGGUGAGAGGGUUGGACUCUAUUCGAUCUUUAGCAUCAGAGUUUUUCCAAUCUUCAAUCUAUUGAUAAAGGUUUAAAACAGAACAUCAGCUAAAGUGUUGAAGCUCCAGAGUUUAAACUCAAGGGUAAGGCAUAACUAAAGGUCGCCACAUGAAUCCAAUUGAAUCUGGUAUUUUGAUCCAUUUCAAUUCUAUCACUUAUCAAGAACAAUCCACAAAGGGAUAGACUGUCUGCUUUCCUUUGCACAAAGAUAUCAAACUGUAUUUCUGCACUCUUCGAUCUUCAGCCAAACUGUUGGCUGAGAAGGGAAAUCCAAUCUCUUAUGCAGCAAAGGCGGAAAACUUAUUCAGCUGAUUUCACUUUGAUACUCCAAUUCUAAGUCACCUAUGAUGACCUGGAAAUCGAAGUAAGAGACUGGCACAAGCAGAAACUCUGUAAGAAAUUCAAUAAGUUUGCGAGGAAGUUCAAGCAAAGUUCAAUUGCCAGUCCUGUUUACCUGCACUGAAAAUUGUAUUAUGUAUUCGGGCAUCUGCUCUUUCAAUUUCAGUUACAUAUCAACUAUAUUCACUUUCAAUUUCAAUUAGCACUCCUGUUCAUUACACAUAACAACUUCUCAUGUAUACAAUUACUUACUUUCCUAAACAAUUCAUUAACAAUCCUAACU